rnacentral:lncRNA from 13 species
CUUAAUCAUCUUAAGCCUCAUUUACCUCAUGAUAAUUUAUUUUGUAGAGUUGCUGCAAGAAUCAAUGUGAAAAUGUACAUAAAGUGUUUAGCAAACACUGUAGUGCUCAAUAAAUGUCAGCUUUGUUGUAACUCUUUGGAUUUUCCCUAGGCAAGGUAAAAGCUUUCUUGGAGCCUUUCUCUUAAUCAGUCCUGCCUCAAACAUCCCUUCUGCUGAAACAAACUGUGAUUAAUCCGCUGUACACCUAACACUCCACUAAAUGGGGCACAGUGCAAAGGUCUGUAAUGAGAAUCUUUUUUAAAGUAAAGCAUAUACAUCAGUCUCAACACAGGAAGCUCAAACAUGGGGACCACUAGGUGAAGGAAAAUUAGCAAGUCUCUCUCCUCAGUUAAAUGUUCUCUGGACCACAUUUGACUGGGCAUUCAAAUGUAAAGGAAGACAAUUAAAGAACAGGUACUGGACUCUGGAAAUGCAGUUUUUUUAGCUUUCGUAAUAAGUCUGCCUGUUGCACAUAUUUCUUUCAAAUAUCUUUUGGGACUCGGUUGUCUAUGAAUGUGGAGACCUGCCUAUCUGUGCAUCAGGGCAUGAGAGCUAUCUAGAUCUGUGCUGAUUAAACUUUUGUUCACUA